GCCUGCGUAGCUCAGUCGGUUGAGCGUCAGACUUGGGAUCAGAUCAUGAUCUCACCGUCCGUGGGUUUGAGCCCCGCGUCGGGCU
rnacentral:tRNA from 1 species